rnacentral:tRNA from 1 species
UCCCUGGUGGCCUAGUGGUUAAGGAUCUGGCAUUGUCACUGCUGUGGCUUGGGUUCGAGCCCUGGCCGGGGAA